rnacentral:rRNA from 1 species
AUGGCUCAGAUUGAACGCUGGCGGCAGGCCUAACACAUGCAA